rnacentral:sRNA from 1 species
UUUUCACACUUUUUGCUCCAGUUUCCGAAUUGGAGGAAGUCAUGCGUGAGAUCAGGGUGCUGUAUCCAAACUACCUCAUUGCCGGCCUCUUGUAACUUGCAAGGUAAACUUACAACUGAUCAAAACCAGCGGUGAAGACAUGCUGGCGGCAGACCUUUCAAAUUCCCAACAUCUUGCAUCCCGGGGAGACGUAUCUAUCCGAAGGAGGAACACCACGAGGCAAAUAAUCGUCGGCAAAUGAGAAGAUACCAUUUGCCUCGAGGUAAUAUCCCCGGUUGUUUUCGGCACAGGCUUUAGUGUCAAAAGGAACCCUGGCUUCGGGGUAUAGAAGCAAUUGGGCUGCGAGAUUGGCCUUUUUCUGGUCAUGCAAGCGAAGGGAGAGAGCUGCCGCCAUAUAUCCACUGAUGAUUAUGUCGAUUUCGUUGUUCGACUAUCUAGUGACUCACCCUGCCGACUCGCCUCCUCCCACAACCUUCUUGAUCCCGCUCUUCUUUCCCUCUUCGCCUUGGAGCCAGGUCACGACUGUUUCGUAUUCAUCCAAUUGAGUGGGAAACUUCGUUCAACAUUUGCCCUCUCAUUCUUUCCUCCAGACUGUCACAUUGACUGGUUUUAAAUAACCAUAAUGUGAGUCAUCCCCAUUUUAUUAUAGUACUGCAGUUCAUGUCUUAUCGUUGAUCAAUCUCACAUAACUAUUACAUAUUGUUCACGUAAUACUGUACCACUGGAGAGUAUUCGAAGAAAGAACAAAUAAUAGUAGGAAGUAAACAUUUCUAACUUACAAGUAAUGAUGAUCCUGUCAUUAUUGACUUCCCGGCGGUUGUCAUCUAGUAUUACUUAUAUAAUUAUCAUGUUUAUUAUUCAAGUUUGAUCAUAGUUGGCUCAACUAUACGUAUCAUCCAGCGCAUCCAAAUCGAUUCUAGUCAUUUUCCCCGUAAGAGCCUCCCAAUUCAACACGUCUUUCAUCUGUGGAAUUGAGGGAAAGCUCAAUAUCCUCCUUCCUGCAGAUUUUGGCCGUAGCAGAAGCAUGCCUCACCCAUCUUAACGGUGGAUUUCGUUCGGGGAAAAUAUCCAACUCAGGCGCUAGGAAUAAUGUUCCGUCACACCCUUUGUAAAUUGUCAAGAGCAUGACGUAGAUCCAGUUGAAGACGACUUGAAUCGAUAUUAUUGUACCAAGGAUUUUGAAGGCCAAUGAAUCAAAUUCAGUUGCCAACGUUGUUGUGGCCGUCUAUUUCCGGCGGUAAACCCCACACUAAAUGAUUCUCUGCCGAAGUAUGCUCUGUUCGUAUUCCACCAAUGGUCUAGCAACACUGUCGUAGCUAGAACAUACCAGCAAAACGACAAACCCCAUAAUAUCAGACCUGCAACCAAACUUCCAGUGUAGACAGCGUCGGCCAUUUGCAAAAUGAUAUUUCUCCUCAAGACAGCAUCCGCCACACCGUCAGGGAUUACGGCGAAACCUAUCCCGUGCUUGUACGCCAAUUCAUGAACGGCUUUGCCCAGAGCCAUGAUACCAAAGCUUCCUUGUCCACAGGGACCCAGAGGAAGGUAGGUGCUCGUUAAUGCCGCAACGGGCGGAGCACCAUACAAAAAGCUGCGAUGGAGGUAGUUACACAUGACAAAAAGGGCAAAAGGAACACCAAUACCCCAGACGAUGUAGGAUACAAUGAUAAUCGAUCUGGCGAGCUGAGGGUUAUACGACAUGAUAGCUGACGAGACUACACCGCCUGAAGAGGAAGCGACAACGCAUGUGACGAUAGGGAGCAACCAAGCAGCUGACAUAGCCUCGGUAGUAUGGCUUUGGCGGGUGAUCCUGCAAAAUUGUUAGACGCCAUGUUUCAGAAGUACAGAUCGAUGAACUCACAUAAUGUAGACCAUCCCGAG